rnacentral:rRNA from 1 species
UAAUACAGAGACCUCAAGCGUUAUCCGGAUUGAUUGGGUGUAAAGCGUGCGCAGGCGGUAAGUUAAGUCCGCGGUUAAAUCUAGCAGCUCAACUGCGAGACCGCCGCGGAAACUGGCUCACUAGAGCAUGGAAGAGGUUAGCGGAAUUGCCGGUGUAACGGUAAAAUGUGUUAAUAUCGGCAAGAACACCAGAGGAGAAGUCGGCUAACUGGGACAUUGCUGACGCUGUGGCACGAAAGCGUGGGGAGCGAAUGGGAUUAGAUACCCCAGUAGUCCACGCCCUAAACGAUGGAUAUUAGUCAUUGGCAGUAUCGACCCUGCCAGUGGCGGUUAAAAUAGCUAACGCAUUAAAUAUCCCACCUGGGAAGUACGGCCGCAAGGCUAAAACUCAAAUGAAUUGACGG